rnacentral:rRNA from 1 species
CUUGACGGUAUCGUAAGAAUAAGGAUCGGCUAACUCCGUGCCAGCAGCCGCGGUAAUACGGAGGAUCCAAGCGUUAUCCGGAAUCAUUGGGUUUAAAGGGUCCGUAGGCGGUUUAGUAAGUCAGUGGUGAAAGCCCAUCGCUCAACGGUGGAACGGCCAUUGAUACUGCCAGACUUGAAUUAUUAGGAAGUAACUAGAAUAUGUAGUGUAGCGGUGAAAUGCUUAGAGAUUACAUGGAAUACCAAUUGCGAAGGCAGGUUACUACUAAUGGAUUGACGCUGAUGGACGAAAGCGUGGGUAGCGAACAGGAUUAGAUACCCUGGUAGUCCACGCCGUAAACGAUGGAUACUAGCUGUUGGGAGCAAUUUCAGUGGCUAAGCGAAAGUGAUA